rnacentral:rRNA from 1 species
GAUGAACGCUGGCGGCGUGCCUAAUACAUGCAAGUCGAGCGGACGGACGAGAAGCUUGCUUCUCUGAUGUUAGCGGCGGACGGGUGAGUAACACGUGGAUAACCUACCUAUAAGACUGGGAUAACUUCGGGAAACCGGAGCUAAUACCGGAUAAUAUUUUGAACCGCAUGGUUCAAAAGUGAAAGACGGUCUUGCUGUCACUUAUAGAUGGAUCCGCGCUGCAUUAGCUAGUUGGUAAGGUAACGGCUUACCAAGGCAACGAUGCAUAGCCGACCUGAGAGGGUGAUCGGCCACACUGGAACUGAGACACGGUCCAGACUCCUACGGGAGGCAGCAGUAGGGAAUCUUCUGCAAUGGGCGAAAGCCUGACGGAGCAACGCCGCGUGAGUGAUGAAGGUCUUCGGAUCGUAAAACUCUGUUAUUAGGGAAGAACAUAUGUGUAAGUAACUGUGCACAUCUUGACGGUACCUAAUCAGAAAGCCACGGCUAACUACGUG